rnacentral:rRNA from 1 species
CGCCUUUUGGGUAAAUAGAAGGUCUAACCUGCCCACUGAGUAGUUAAAGGGCCGCGGUAUUUUGACCGUGCAAAGGUAGCAUAAUCAUUAGUCUUCUAAUUAAAGGCUGGAAUGAAUGGUUGGACGAGGUGCCAGCUGUCUCCCUAAAAUGGGCUGUAAUUUAGCUUUUCAGUCAAAAGGCUGAAAUAAUGUUGGAGGACGAGAAGACCCUAUAGAGCUUUACACUUUACUAGUCUGGUUUGUUUAGGAAGAUUUUGGCUUUAAAAGGUAAGUGUUUCGUUGGGGUGACGGGAAGAUGAACAGAACUCUUUUUUAAUUGUACAUGAAUGAAUGGUUAGGUGAUCCAUAAAUAAUGAUUAUAAGACUAAGUUACCUUAGGGAUAACAGCGUAAUCUUUCUUGAGAGUUCUAAUCGACAGGAAGGGUUGCGACCUCGAUGUUGGACUAAGGGUAAUUCUUGGGUGCAGCAGCUCAAGAUUUAGGUCUGUUCGACCUUUGGACCCUUACAU